UAUGCUGACAUAUGCACGGAAUAUAAAUAACAACUAGUUGUUUGUUUUAUUUUAACAUUGCAUUGGACGUUUAAACAGCAAAACCUUGAUACAUGUAUCAAGUAAAUGACACUUUUUGACAAUUCUUUAACAAUAAGGAUAGUGUGUCAUGGAAGAUUAUAUAAAUAUAGCUGCAAACAUUUUAUUAACUGAUUACUUCAGAAGCUUUCCUGGAAACAGACAGUUGUUGCCUACAAACAGCAGACGACAAUGUUGAUGUUAUUAUGCCUCAUAGCAGCUUUGGGUCUUGUUGAAUGCCGAACACAAUGCUGGGCGCCCCCAGCACCGCCAGGGAAUGAAUGUUUGUAUGGUAAAGAAAUACACGGCGGAAGAAAUCUCGGCAUACACUAUAUCUUCACCUCAAAGUUCACUCGGAUAUGUUGUCAAGCAUUAGAAUGUCAGUACUGGGGACCGUGUUAUUUCCGGGACAUUGGGUGCGGACAAAGUAUCAAUGGUCUUCCAAUAAAAUCAGACGUAUUGCGCUGGGGUCAAAGAGAUGUAGAACCCAUCAUGAGAUGUUUUGACUCCCAUGGAGAUGGUGCCUGUUACAGUUACACUGUUGAACUAGUUAUUAUUGAUUAACGUUGUGUUAGUACCAUAACACCAAUAGCAAAUAAAAAUGUUGUUGUCGAAAAAAAAAA